UCAGCCUGUGCCAGCCCUGUACUUUCGCACAACUUUUUGCCUUUUUACCCACUCACGCUCCUCUCGCGGCUAUUUUUAGAAGAAAAUUCCAGGCGCUGUGCAAGGACCCGAGACCUGCCCGCCCCGAGGGGCCCUGCAGGGAGGUUUUUACCCCCAAAACACGCCUUUUUACCCCCUGCCACCCGCCCGGCCUCCCCCAGCCGCGGCCGCCAUCUGACACCCGCGGGGGAUCUUGUGUCGCUUAUCGCCGAGGACCAACAUUUUCACCAAACAUCUGUUUGCUCACUGCCCUGAUACAAAUACUAUAGUGGUGCAGAAACACUUGAAGAACUGUACUCCGGGAGCAGUAAAGAAUUUAUAUGGACAAAGUGCAGAUCAAAUUGUGAAGGCUCUGCUUGUGAUUCAAAAUUUCUUCUGUCUUCUCAUGAAAGAUUUGGAGCAUGCAACAGAAAGUGCACUUGCUGAAUCUGCAGAUGGCACACAGUCAGAAACAAGAAGAAUCACACUGCAGUCCAUGAUGUUUCUCUGAAUAGGAGUCAGAAUGUUAUGUGGCCACAAAAAAAAGGCAAACACCACACUGAACUGGAAGCACAACCUGUAAAACGAAGGUGUCCUUAGACCUGCUGAACCAUCCAGCUAAGAUCCAGCUGCACUGUGGGGAAGAUGAGACCUGGCUGAAGAAAAUCCAGCAGACAGCCACAAGUGCAUGAACCCAGGUCUGGAAAACAGGCCCAAGGGUGAAAAUCUGAAAGGGACAGGGUUGUUUAGUCUAGAAAAAAAAAAGGCCAGAGGUCUUGUGAUAACAGCCACCAAGUAUGUAAAAAGCUGCUGCAAAUGAAAAUGGAGUGGUAACAUGUUGACUCUGGUUGUGGUGGCCAUGACAAAGUAAAAAAUGUUUGUAUCUUUUGUUAUACUGAAUGAUCUGAUAAACAUGUACAAACUUUACGGCAUAUGAAGCUUUAUUGAGCUUGAAACAGGAGCAGUAAGGCCAGCCUUGCUGCAGUCCUUCUACUAAAGAUACUCCCAAUUUAGCACAGCAACACUUUACCUAGACUGUGGAGUUCCUGUAUCCUUGGGCACUUUAAGAAUAGGUCUGGCAAAAGUGGUUCAGCAUGAAUUCCUUUGAAUUAGACCAACUUUAAUAACCCAGUAGGUCCCAGUGCUGUAAGUCUUUUCUGAAGACUUUUGCCCAAACACUCAAAAAGUGUGUAUCCACCUGUUUAGAUGCCCAGAUCUAAUACUUAGGUAGCAUGUUUAAAAUCUGCCUAGCUGCCAUCUACUGCUGUAAUCACUGACAUGUCUGUGGGUUGCACAUGCAGUUUAUCCCAUUCAUUUUGCAGAGUCAGACUGUGAGGAAUCUCACGUUGGGUGUUCUCCUUUUGCUACUUGGUCCCUCCCUCAAUAAACAGUGUAUGUAUAAGCUAAAUGCCCCACAGAACUGUAUUUGGGACAUGACCACAUGCUGGCUGAGGAGUUAGGAGUCUCAGCUGUGAUGUGACAGACACCUGCUCAAAUCUGUGCUUUUCCCCUGGCUAGAGAUGUGAACAUGAAUUUUAGUCUCCGACUUCCACGGAUAAGUCCUCUCAUAGCAUCUUUCUCUGCCCAACAAAUACUCAAGCAGAUACCAAAUUUUGAGGCUUCUUCACAUUAUUUCAGCUGAGUAACUCAUAUGCACAGAAAUAAGAUCGUAUAAAGUCUGUGUAAAGAUUUGAAAACACAUUUUAAUGGAUUAAGCUCAGUUUGAGCCACCUCUUCAGCCAAUAUAAUGCGUUAGAGAUUCUGCAGGGAAUGUAGAAAAGAGAUAAAAGGAAUAAUGCACUAUGGUUAUGCUCCUUUGUGCUUGUGAGAGCAUGCCCUGAAGUCUGCCAGGCUCCCAGUAAAAGAACUUUCUCUAACUGAUUGUACUCCAGGACAUGGGGUCAGGCUUUUUGGUUUUAAUCUUUGCAGUUUUGUAGAAUUCAAUUUGAAUUCAUGUGAAAUAUUGUUGGAUGUAAUUGAGAUGCUUUUACUUAUUUAUUCAUCUGCAGAAUCUGUACAGAAGAUCUGUAGGAGAUUAAGAGCCAGAUAGUCUGUCCUUGCAGCUGUACCUGAAAAUAAAUCCCCUUAAACCAAAACCAGAAAAACAACACACAAACGUAUUCAGAAUUGACACAGGAGAAGCAGUUACUCAGGAUCUUAUUUGCCAGUAUGUGAUUUAAAAACACAACUAGUAAGCCUCAAAGAUUCAGGCACAUUUGUUUAUCUCUGUUUUACCAAAGUGAACAUAUCCACAAAUGAAAUGCAUACUGAAGUGCAAAUACAUACCACAAUACAAUGCAGUUCUGAGUAAAUUCUGCACUGAAAGUUGUACAUGUCCUUAAAACACAAUUUUGAAGCCAUUAAGGCAUGCUUUAAAACAGCAAAUCCAAGCAAUAUAACAGAAACCUUUCAGCAACAGAACAUUUUUCUUAUUUCUCUUGUUCUUAAAGACUUAUUGCUUUUAUUAUUGCAAGACCAAUUAAUGCUGAUGAUAUUUGAUCAUAUAUCAGUUUGUUACUUACAGACAAAUGAUUAAGUGUACAUACAGACAAUAAGAGGUUUUCCAGAUAAAAGCUCUUUUAUCGGACCCUGAAUAUAUCAACUUAAGAAACUGGGCUGGGGGCUUGCUUUUGCAGAUGAUUUCUAUGUGUAAAGAUGAUAGCUAUGUUGUAAAACUCCAGUAUUGUUCAUCAAAAUUUACUUGUUCUUCAUCUUUUAAUAGCACUUCCCUUUCUGCUGCAGUUACAGUAUUACAGAUAUGUACAUGAAUUCUCACCAGAUAUUUAGCACAACUUUCUCUGCAUGGUUUUACAUUUUGCUCCUAAGGAGGUUUGUUGUGGUCAUUAACUGCAUCCCCAACUUUGCAUUAGAAGCAGCUCAUUUUUUCCCCUUUGUAAAUAAAAACCCCAAAUAAUUUAUGGUCUGAUGAAA